GUAAUACUUUACCCAAACAAAUUCGGAUUAGUUGACAAAGAAAAAACAAGACUUUCAGGAAAACAAAAAACCAAAAACAAAGUACCUAAAUCCGAAUCAAGAUGGGACAAAAAAGAAAAAUUGAAAGAAGAUUUUUUUAUCGGAGUAGAAACUUACCAACGUGAUACCACUGGGGACAUCCAUAUUCUUCACAGUCUAAUUAGAACAAAAGAUCAGAGUGGAUCGGUUGAGGAUUUUGCAGGCAAAUAUAAACGUGUUUCUGAAGUAGAACUGCAAGACUUGAUUCUUCGAGCUCGUACUCACAUUAUACCAAACUUAGUCAGGAAAAGAAACAUUGUAGAUCUCGCUAAGUUGUUAGUAUGUACUGACAAACAUUUUCGGAAGUUCGUUCUUAAAAAGUUAAAAGAUAUCAUAAGUAACUUAGAUAUAUCUGUUCUUUUUCUGUGUGAUUUUAAAACGUGUUUGCAGUAUUUGAUUAAUAUUUUU